AACGUAGGUUCCGAGCGUUAUCCGGAAUUACUGGGCGUAAAGGGCGCGUAGGCGGCCCGCUAAGUCGAACGUGAAAUCCCCGAGCUCAACUCGGGAACUGCGUCCGAUACUGGUGGGCUUGAAUCCGGUAGAGGGAUGCGGAAUUCCAGGUGUAGCGGUGAAAUGCGUAGAUAUCUGGAGGAACACCGGUGGCGAAGGCGGCAUCCUGGACCGGCAUUGACGCUGAGGCGCGAAAGCUAGGGGAGCAAACGGG
rnacentral:rRNA from 1 species